UACAGAGGGGGCAAGCGUUGUUCGGAAUUACUGGGCGUAAAGGGCGCGUAGGCGGCCUUCUAAGUCGAACGUGAAAUCCCCGGGCUCAACCCGGGAACUGCGUCCGAUACUGGAAGGCUUGAAUCCGGGAGAGGGAUGCGGAAUUCCAGGUGUAGCGGUGAAAUGCGUAGAUAUCGGGAGGAACACCUGUGGCGAAAGCGGCUCUCUGAACCACAACUGACGCUGAGGCGCGAAAGCUAGGGGAGCAAACAGG
rnacentral:rRNA from 1 species